GGGUUGUGAGGUUAAGCGACUAAGCGUACACGGUGGAUGCCCUGGCAGUCAGAGGCGAUGAAGGACGUGCUAAUCUGCGAUAAGCGUCGGUAAGGUGAUAUGAACCGUUAUAACCGGCGAUUUCCGAAUGGGGAAACCCAGUGUGAUUCGUCACACUAUCAUUAACUGAAUCCAUAGGUUAAUGAGGCGAACCGGGGGAACUGAAACAUCUAAGUACCCCGAGGAAAAGAAAUCAACCGAGAUUCCCCCAGUAGCGGCGAGCGAACGGGGAGCAGCCCAGAGCCUGAAUUAGUGUGUGUGUUAGUGGAAGCGUCUGGAAAGGCGCGCGAUACAGGGUGACAGCCCCGUACACAAAAAUGCACAUACUGUGAGCUCGAUGAGUAGGGCGGGACACGUGGUAUCCUGUCUGAAUAUGGGGGGACCAUCCUCCAAGGCUAAAUACUCCUGACUGACCGAUAGUGAACCAGUACCGUGAGGGAAAGGCGAAAAGAACCCCGGCGAGGGGAGUGAAAAAGAACCUGAAACCGUGUACGUACAAGCAGUGGGAGCCUCUUUAUGGGGUGACUGCGUACCUUUUGUAUAAUGGGUCAGCGACUUAUAUUCUGUAGCAAGGUUAACCGAAUAGGGGAGCCGAAGGGAAACCGAGUCUUAACUGGGCGUUAAGUUGCAGGGUAUAGACCCGAAACCCGGUGAUCUAGCCAUGGGCAGGUUGAAGGUUGGGUAACACUAACUGGAGGACCGAACCGACUAAUGUUGAAAAAUUAGCGGAUGACUUGUGGCUGGGGGUGAAAGGCCAAUCAAACCGGGAGAUAGCUGGUUCUCCCCGAAAGCUAUUUAGGUAGCGCCUCGUGAAUUCAUCUCCGGGGGUAGAGCACUGUUUCGGCAAGGGGGUCAUCCCGACUUACCAACCCGAUGCAAACUGCGAAUACCGGAGAAUGUUAUCACGGGAGACACACGGCGGGUGCUAACGUCCGUCGUGAAGAGGGAAACAACCCAGACCGCCAGCUAAGGUCCCAAAGUCAUGGUUAAGUGGGAAACGAUGUGGGAAGGCCCAGACAGCCAGGAUGUUGGCUUAGAAGCAGCCAUCAUUUAAAGAAAGCGUAAUAGCUCACUGGUCGAGUCGGCCUGCGCGGAAGAUGUAACGGGGCUAAACCAUGCACCGAAGCUGCGGCAGCGACACUGUGUGUUGUUGGGUAGGGGAGCGUUCUGUAAGCCUGUGAAGGUGUGCUGUGAGGCAUGCUGGAGGUAUCAGAAGUGCGAAUGCUGACAUAAGUAACGAUAAAGCGGGUGAAAAGCCCGCUCGCCGGAAGACCAAGGGUUCCUGUCCAACGUUAAUCGGGGCAGGGUGAGUCGACCCCUAAGGCGAGGCCGAAAGGCGUAGUCGAUGGGAAACAGGUUAAUAUUCCUGUACUUGGUGUUACUGCGAAGGGGGGACGGAGAAGGCUAUGUUGGCCGGGCGACGGUUGUCCCGGUUUAAGCGUGUAGGCUGAUUUUCCAGGCAAAUCCGGAAAAUCAAGGCUGAGGCGUGAUGACGAGGCACUACGGUGCUGAAGCAACAAAUGCCCUGCUUCCAGGAAAAGCCUCUAAGCAUCAGGUAACAUCAAAUCGUACCCCAAACCGACACAGGUGGUCAGGUAGAGAAUACCAAGGCGCUUGAGAGAACUCGGGUGAAGGAACUAGGCAAAAUGGUGCCGUAACUUCGGGAGAAGGCACGCUGAUAUGUAGGUGAAGUCCCUCGCGGAUGGAGCUGAAAUCAGUCGAAGAUACCAGCUGGCUGCAACUGUUUAUUAAAAACACAGCACUGUGCAAACACGAAAGUGGACGUAUACGGUGUGACGCCUGCCCGGUGCCGGAAGGUUAAUUGAUGGGGUUAGCGGUAACGCGAAGCUCUUGAUCGAAGCCCCGGUAAACGGCGGCCGUAACUAUAACGGUCCUAAGGUAGCGAAAUUCCUUGUCGGGUAAGUUCCGACCUGCACGAAUGGCGUAAUGAUGGCCAGGCUGUCUCCACCCGAGACUCAGUGAAAUUGAACUCGCUGUGAAGAUGCAGUGUACCCGCGGCAAGACGGAAAGACCCCGUGAACCUUUACUAUAGCUUGACACUGAACAUUGAGCCUUGAUGUGUAGGAUAGGUGGGAGGCUUUGAAGUGUGGACGCCAGUCUGCAUGGAGCCGGCCUUGAAAUACCACCCUUUAAUGUUUGAUGUUCUAACGUUGGCCCCUGAUCGGGGUUGCGGACAGUGUCUGGUGGGUAGUUUGACUGGGGCGGUCUCCUCCUAAAGAGUAACGGAGGAGCACGAAGGUUGGCUAAUCCUGGUCGGACAUCAGGAGGUUAGUGCAAUGGCAUAAGCCAGCUUGACUGCGAGCGUGACGGCGCGAGCAGGUGCGAAAGCAGGUCAUAGUGAUCCGGUGGUUCUGAAUGGAAGGGCCAUCGCUCAACGGAUAAAAGGUACUCCGGGGAUAACAGGCUGAUACCGCCCAAGAGUUCAUAUCGACGGCGGUGUUUGGCACCUCGAUGUCGGCUCAUCACAUCCUGGGGCUGAAGUAGGUCCCAAGGGUAUGGCUGUUCGCCAUUUAAAGUGGUACGCGAGCUGGGUUUAGAACGUCGUGAGACAGUUCGGUCCCUAUCUGCCGUGGGCGCUGGAGAACUGAGGGGGGCUGCUCCUAGUACGAGAGGACCGGAGUGGACGCAUCACUGGUGUUCGGGUUGUCAUGCCAAUGGCACUGCCCGGUAGCUAAAUGCGGAAGAGAUAAGUGCUGAAAGCAUCUAAGCACGAAACUUGCCCCGAGAUGAGUUCUCCCUGACUCCUUGAGAGUCCUGAAGGAACGUUGAAGACGACGACGUUGAUAGGCCGGGUGUGUAAGCGCAGCGAUGCGUUGAGCUAACCGGUACUAAUGAACCGUGAGGCUUAACCUUACAACGCCGAAG
rnacentral:rRNA from 1 species